rnacentral:misc_RNA from 1 species
CUUGUCCUUCUAGGUGGGGGAUGACCUUCCUUCCUCCUCUGACUGACAUGGAUCUACCCUCACCUCUUCGAUCGAGACUAUAGAUAUAUUUUUAUUUUCGUUUGUUGGCUUUCAGAUUUGGGGAUAAAUUGUGAGGGGAUUUCUUAGAAUGUGUGAGGACUCUUAGUUCCUCAAACCCAGCAGCAGUAGGGCUUUCUCUUUAUAACUGUGAAUGGAUAUAUGUGCAUGGGUUGGGGGUGAGUCAACAAUUCUGUUCCACACUUAAAGCCAGGAGCUGCUAAGAUCGCCAGGUUCCUCCUUUAGCCUGCGUGGGUACAUCUUGGAGACAUUACUGCGUCAUUUCCUUGGCCAUCCAGUUUCUCAACAACUGGAGAUCCAAAAGAGUCCUGUCCUGCGCCUCAUGUUCCCCCUGGCUUCAAAUUUGCUCCUUUCCGUGGUUUUAUGGGGUCCUCUUCAGAUCUUGAUUUAUCUAGCUUGGACUUGGGUUGUAAGAUCAAUCUGUUGGAUUUAGUAAGGUUAAGUUUGGAUUUGCCUCAACUGUAAUUAGACUAUGCUAUGUUGUAAUUACCUCAGACUUUUUCUACCCAUGCAAUGCAAUGAAUUAUUCUCUUUAAUAAAAAAGGAAAAAAAAUUCAGC